GCUUAACACAUGCAAGUCGAACGGUAAGGCCUUCGGGGUACACGAGUGGCGCACGGGUGCGUAACACGUAUACAACUUACCCCUCAGUGGGAGAUAGUCGCGGGAAACUGCGAAUAAUACCCCAUACGAUCUUAACCUGGCAUCGGGUUGAGAUGAAAGUUCCGGCGCUGAGGGAUGGGUAUGCGUCCCAUUAGCUAGUUGGUGAGGUAACGGCUCACCAAGGCGACGAUGGGUAACUGGUCUGAGAGGAUGAUCAGCCACAUGGGCACUGAGACACGGGCCCAACUCCUACGGGAGGCAGCAGUGAGGAAUCUUGGUCAAUGGGGGCAAUCCUGAACCAGCCAUGCCGCGUGGAGGAAGACGGCCCUCCGGGUUGUAAACUUCUUUAGCUAGGGGCUAAUGAUGUGCUAUAGGCAUGUUUGCAGGUACCUAGAGAAUAAGCGCCGGCUAACUACGUGCCAGCAGCCGCGGUAAUACGUAGGGCGCAAGCGUUGUCCGGAUUUAUUGGGUUUAAAGGGUGCGUAGGCGGAUAGAUAAGUUCGUGGUGAAAUCGUUCGGCUUAACCGGAUACCCGCCAUGGAUGCUGUUUAUCUUGAGAUGGGAUGAGGAAGUUAGAAUGCGUGGUGUAGCGGUGAAAUGCAUAGAUAUCACGCAGAAUACCGAUUGCGAAGGCAGACUUCUGGUCCCGAUCUGACGCUG
rnacentral:rRNA from 1 species